rnacentral:rRNA from 1 species
CCUACGGGGGGCAGCAGUCGAGAAUCAUUCACAAUGGGGGAAACCCUGCUGGUGCGAAGCCGCGUGGGGGAAUGAAGGUCUUCGGAUUGUAAACCCCUGUCAUGUGGGAGCAAAUUAAAAAGAUAGUACCACAAGAGGAAGAGACGGCUAACUCUGUGCCAGCAGCCGCGGUAAUACAGAGAUCUCAAGAGUGGUUCGGAAUCACUGGGCGUAAAGCGUGCGGAGGCUGUUUCGUCAGGCGUGUGUGAAAGGCGCGGGCUCAACCCGCGGACGGCACAUGAUACUGCGAGACUAGAGUGAUGGAGAGGGAGCCGGAAUUCUCGGUGUAGCAGUGAAAUGCGUAGAUAUCGAGAGGAACACUCGUGGCGAAGGCGGGUUCCUGGACAUUAACUGACGCUGAGGCACGAAGGCCAGGGGAGCGAAAGGGAUUAGAUACCCCGGUAGUC